rnacentral:rRNA from 1 species
UACGAAGGGGGCUAGCGUUGUUCGGAUGUACUGGGCGUAAAGCGCACGUAGGCGGGUUGUUAAGUCAGGGGUGAAAUCCCGGAGCUCAACUCCGGAACUGCCUUUGAUACUGGUAAUCUAGAGAUCGGAAGAGGUUAGUGGAAUUCCCAGUGUAGAGGUGAAAUUCGUAGAUAUUGGGAAGAACACCAGUGGCGAAGGCGGCUAACUGGUCCGAUACUGACGCUGAGGUGCGAAAGCGUGGGGAGCAAACAGG